ACGGGUGAGUAAUGCCUAGGAAUCUGCCUGGUAGUGGGGGAUAACGCUCGGAAACGGACGCUAAUACCGCAUACGUCCUACGGGAGAAAGCAGGGGACCUUCGGGCCUUGCGCUAUCAGAUGAGCCUAGGUCGGAUUAGCUAGUUGGUGAGGUAAUGGCUCACCAAGGCGACGAUCCGUAACUGGUCUGAGAGGAUGAUCAGUCACACUGGAACUGAGACACGGUCCAGACUCCUACGGGAGGCAGCAGUGGGGAAUAUUGGACAAUGGGCGAAAGCCUGAUCCAGCCAUGCCGCGUGUGUGAAGAAGGUCUUCGGAUUGUAAAGCACUUUAAGUUGGGAGGAAGGGCAGUUACCUAAUACGUGAUUGUUUUGACGUUACCGACAGAAUAAGCACCGGCUAACUCUGUGCCAGCAGCCGCGGUAAUACAGAGGGUGCAAGCGUUAAUCGGAAUUACUGGGCGUAAAGCGCGCGUAGGUGGUUUGUUAAGUUGAAUGUGAAGUCCCCGGGCUCAACCUGGGAACUGCAUCCAAAACUGGCAAGCUAGAGUAUGGUAGAGGGUGGUGGAAUUUCCUGUGUA
rnacentral:rRNA from 1 species